ACCCACUUUGUUAUUGUUUCAAUCAAGGACUCUAGCUUUGAGAGUAUAUUCUAGAUACCUGUAAAUAAUUGACAUAAUGUAAAUGAGUAGGCCUAUGUAAAGGACGUCACACUGCUUGCGAGUACCACGGCCGUCAAGAAGCGUCAACAGUCGGUGUCACGCGAAAAGAUAACUAUUCGCUGGCGCAAGUGGGGACAGUUCAGGUUGAGGAGUUUCCCACAUCCCCAUGUGCUACAGCUACUGUAGCCACACUAUGAAGCAUUGGCCAAUCUGAAUCAGUGCUAGACUUGGGUAGGAGCUCACCGGAGCUCAGUACCAGCACCUCAAAUGUUCUACUGCCCGAGCUCCUGUUCAUCUUAAAGAAUAUUAGCUCAAAAGUGUUGUGGAGCUCGUGCCCCUAAAUAUAAACAGUACUGCCACCUAAAAUGAAUACCGGAACCUAUUUCAAUCAAAGUCAAGCACUGAUCUGAAUCGAAUUCACUUAGGCCCAUGCCCACUAUUUUAUAGCCUUACGUUAUACAAUAUAUAUUAUAAUACUGUUAUAAUGGGCUAUUUUGGAUCAUAUUGUAUAGGACAUCUUACUAUAGAUUACAUACAUUUUAGGUUUAGUCUUAAUUAUAGAUAUUGAAUGAAAUAGUCAGCAACAUAGUGGACAGACACCAUGCUGUAAAUCAAGAAUUGUAACAAGCAGCAAAUCCAGGUCUAGAAAUUGUUACAUUUUCUUAGAUAACAUGGAAAUUAGCAAUAACCUGUCAACUGCAAAUUGUUUUCUCACGCCCCCUCCCAUUUCCUCUUCGUUUCCCCUGCGUCACUUCUGAGCGCCCUGUUGUAGCGGAGUUGUCACGGCAACGACGUUCUAUCUCUUCUCCAAACACUUCGUGGGCCAAGCACAUCUUUGAUUUUGUUUGAGGGCGUCUCCUGUAAAACUGUAAUAAAUAUUUGAUGACUAUUCUAUGUUACUGCCUAUUAAGUUGAAUGUAAAAACCUCAAGGAGCAAAUGCUUGGAUGGUAUUGCUGAGGAAAAUGUCGAACUCGAUCCCCUUUAAUGGUAAGUUGUCUCUUUUACAGCCUUGCUUCUGGCUUCAGGUAACAGAACACGCUUCCUACUUCAGUUGCUAACGUUAGUUUACCUAACGUUAACGUUAGUAGCUAGGCAGAAAUGUGAGGUUCUCUUGCUAGCUAGCUAGAAUGUUUAUGAAUCCAUUUAAUGGACAGGUUUUGUAAACAGGGUCAACACGUUUGUUAACACUGAGUUAACAUGUCACAAAGUUGACGUUAAAGGCUACAUUUCUUCAGAUAUCUUACAAAUAGUUUUGCUCACAAUUAAUUAUAGGUUGCUUGCUGUUUGUGUAUCUCCACUUUUACCAACGAGCCUGCAAGAUGAGUGCCGAAUUAGGGAUGCUUUUUCACUCAACAGAUUUCACCCUGAAAGGCUCAUCUUAGAAUGGACAAAUUCAAGGAAUGGGAUCAGGCGCCUGUAGAAGUGGCUGAAGACAGAAGUGUGGCAGUCGAGUACACAGGAUGGGACCAGAGCUGCCAACUACCCAACAGGGGCCAUGUCGAUGCCCUUUUGGAUAUCAGCGAUGAUACCUCAUCCAAAGAGCAGGAGCCAUUUGAGUUUCUCUGUCUCUCCAGAUGGGCGGAAGCUAUCCGGGGCUGGGGCAGAACUACUCCACUUGGCUGCCUGGUUCAGACCCAGAGGAGAGGAAAGAGGGUCAAGACUGGAGAGACAGACCACCACUGCCACCUGUGUGUGGACCUUGUGAAGUUCUCGGUUCCCCUUGACUCUGAGUCCAGCGUAACCCACUCCCCUGAGUCCUUCUGGGACUCCACCCUGGACCCAUGGGAGAACCCCCGUCCACAACCCUGGGAGACUUCUUGAACAGACUCUACAGUCAAACCUCUAACAUCUCUUCAGAGGAAUCCCCACCAGAGUCCUUCAGGUACCUUCAGAAAGCCACACAGCAAUUGACACUCCAAGACAAGAUGGUGGAGGACAAAGCUGGGUGUGUGAGAUCAGUGACUCACUGCUGGGCUCUGCCCCCUCCCAGGGUCACGACCACUCAGCCUCAGAGUGUCCCAUGACGCUGAUCAUCAACAGCUUCACCAUCCUACCACCCGUGAAGGCCUCCCAGUUCAGACACCCUAGGGUCACCAGCCAGCUCCGGAGGGAGGAGGCCGGCCCGGGCCGCAGUGCCUCAGACGGGGAGACCGCAGCGGCUGGGUCAGACGGUGUCACGCCUGCCUGGGAGAGCGGAGGUGGUGUGGAGAGCCAGCAGUCGCCACCUGUUGUCUGCUUUCAGCAUCCCCAUCCCCAAGAGAUGUGCCAUACCCUCAGCACUGUCAGAUCCUCUACCCCGCGCCACCUACCCCCUGGACAGACACCUCAGAUAGGAUCCCCGGACCAGCAGUGCUCACAGACUCUACUUUGGACUGAAGACCAAGAUUCUGAAGCGUGCAGAGCCCCAACUGCCCAUUCUGUUUGGGGACAGGGUGGCCAUCCCAGCCUCUGCACAGAGACUACUCUGAACAGAGACUGUUACUUUGCACUCCAUACUCUCUCCCAACCCAAAACUCAGUCUUUGUGGGUUUGUGAUUAAAAAUAAGCUUUCUGUGAAAUAUCUUCAUAUCUUUUACAUGACACUGAUGACGAAUUCAACUUGGUCGUUUUAAACUACAUGGAAUUGACAUGAGUUUACAGAUUGCUGUUAGUUCUAUUUGAUUUAUAGGCUAUACCACCUCAGCCUCAUUGUAUAACCAGUUUAUUCAUGCGUUACAUGCGUUUCAAAAGGUAGCAUUUGGUCCAUCAUCACACAUGCCAUCACUCUUAACAUCAGCAAUGCAAAGUAGUCCAGAUUGCUAGAAUUCAUUGUGCAGACAUGUUAUGGUCAUUUGUUACCACUGAUUAUUCAGCGUGAAAUCAUUUAACUGUUACAUGAGCCUUCCUUAAUUACAAACCCUCCACGUACCUGGACAUAUGGAGUGACUCAUUUUAAAAUGGAGUGAUACAUUCAUUUGUGUGUGAUUUCAGUUCUAGAUUUUGCAUGUGCUUUUAUUGUGGUGCUCACACUUACCCAGCAACUGUGCCUACUACUCUAUGAUGCUGAGCUCUAGGUCAGUUUCUUGGAUUCCUGAAUGUUAAACUGCAGACAUUAUUCUCCUCAGUAUGACAAAACAUGAUCUGAGCCAUUGCCAAAGCAUGCUAGUGCACUCUAAUGGAAUGAGCAGUCAGUGAUUGUAGUGUUCCAACCCAUGUGAAGAUGUCAUUGGUAGCCUAUUGAAUUACAUGCUAGAUGUGAACCACACUGUGACUCUGAGGGGCUGUGACAGCAUAGGUGUGUGGGCGGCGGGAUUAGUAUCAUAUUCCAAAUGUCUUACACAAUUACAAUAUUGUAUUCAAAUGGUCUGAGCAUAAUACAUGUACAUAGUACAUUAACUUGUACUGCCACACAACCCAGGUGAAAACUACCUGACAUUUACCGAAAAAUAGCACAUUGAGUGUGUACAAUAUUGAUUAUUGUGUUGUAAGUCAAAAGUAGUAUGUGCUUUAACCAGUAAUAAAAUAUUUGACGUGGCUUUAUACA